CUUGUACUCCCUCUGUCCAAAAAUCCUUGUCAUUGAAAUGGAUGUAUCUAGAUGUAUUUUAGUUCUAGACACAUCCAUUUUGAUGACAAGUAAUUCCGAACGGAGGGAGUACUUG
rnacentral:pre_miRNA from 1 species